rnacentral:ncRNA from 1 species
CCGCUUGGAUCAUUAUGACCGAGACGGAGAA